rnacentral:rRNA from 1 species
AAAGGAAUUGACGGGGGCCCGCACAAGCGGCGGAGCAUGUGGAUUAAUUCGAUGCAACGCGAAGAACCUUACCUGGGCUUGACAUACACCGGACCGGGCCAGAGAUGGUCCUUCCCUUGUGGCCGGUGUACAGGUGGUGCAUGGUUGUCGUCAGCUCGUGUCGUGAGAUGUUGGGUUAAGUCCCGUAACGAGCGCAACCCUUGUCUUAUGUUGCCAGCACGUCAUGGUGGGGACUCAUGAGAGACUGCCGGGGUCAACUCGGAGGAAGGUGGGGAUGACGUCAAAUCAUCAUGCCCCUUAUGUCCAGGGCUUCACACAUGCUACAAUGGUCGGUACAACAGGUUGCGAGACCGUAAGGUGGAGCUAAUCCGUAUAAAGCCGGCCUCAGUUCGGAUUGGGGUCUGCAACUCGACCCCAUGAAGUCGGAGUCGCUAGUAAUCGUAGAUCAGCAACGCUGCGGUGAAUACGUUCCCGGGCCUUGUACACACCGCCCGU